CCUACGGGAGGCAGCAGUGAGGAAUAUUGGUCAAUGGGCGAGAGCCUGAACCAGCCAAGUCGCGUGAAGGAUGAAGGAUCUAUGGUUUGUAAACUUCUUUUAUAUGGGAAUAAAGUGAGGAACGUGUUCCUUUUUGUAUGUACCAUAUGAAUAAGCAUCGGCUAACUCCGUGCCAGCAGCCGCGGUAAUACGGAGGGUGCAAGCGUUGUCCGGAAUCAUUGGGCGUAAAGAGUUCGUAGGUGGCAUAUUAAGUCUGGUGUUAAAUGCAGAAGCUCAACUUCUGUUCGGCACUGGAUACUGGUAAGCUUGAAUGCGUGAGAGGUAAAGGGAAUUCCUGGUGUAGCGGUGAAAUGCGUAGAUAUCAGGAGGAACAUCGGUGGCGUAAGCGCUUUACUGGGCCGUAAUUGACACUGAGGAACGAAAGCCGGGGUAGCAAAUGGGAUUAGAUACCCUAGUAGUC
rnacentral:rRNA from 1 species